UCCCGCCUCGCGCCUCGCGCCUCCCGCCUCCCUCCCUCCACGUCUCCCGGCGGGCGGCCGCCCUCGGGCGGGAAGGGAAGCGGGAGGGGCCCGACCUGGAAGCUCGCCCAGGAGCUGCGCCUUCACCUCGGGCCUCAAGCCCCCGAACCUCCCCCGGUGCCGUGAAACCUCUCGCACGGCAGAGGUUUGUAACGUCCGUGCUUCUCCCAAAGGCGGUCCGUCUGUCUGUCUGGGCCCAGGCGACCCCGACUUCCUCGCCAGCUCCGCCCUCUUCCGCUACCUUCGUGGGCCCCGUAGCCAGCGGCUCCCUUCUCCCCACCGCCCGUGCUCAGUGUGCGGUUUCUUGUUAUUCAGUCUCUGAUUCAUUGUUUCAGGAGCAGGAGCAGCAAAACCGAGACCAGAGAGGUGGCCAGGGGCCCAGUCACGAAUGACCUUAUGCCAAGGCGAGGAGUCUACAUUCUCUCUAUAAAAGUUCAGACCCGUUUAAAGACUCCUGAAGGAGCAAGAAAGAACUAGCACGAGAAAAAAAAAAAUGUGUUUCAAGUAUGAAGUACUGAAAUGGUUCUCAGCUUUUACAAAGAAAUGUGAACAUUUAUAAAUGUAUGGGUUAUAAUUUUUUUAUUAUGAAAAAUUUUAACAUGUAUAGGAGAGUUAAUAAUGUAAUGGAAUCCCAUGUAUCCACUAGCUGAUUCAAGUUACCAAUUUAUCAAUCUUGUUUCAUUACCAUCUCCACCUAAUAUAUACAUCUCCAUUGUCACACAAUUAUUCUGACUGAUGAGUAUUAUAUUUUCCAGCAUGAUAAACUGAUACCCAGAAUUAGACUUUAAGGAAAAUAAUAACUCUUUUGAGCUCUUCGGAUGUGCUAAGCAUCCUAGGAAUUAACCCAAUUGAAUUAAGCAAUUUGAACAUUAACUCAUUUAAUCUUCAAUAACCUGUGAGUAGGUACUAUUAUUAUUCCUUUGUUAAAUAAUAGGAUAUUAAGGUACAGAAAGGGUAGGUAAUUUAUGUGGAGUCACAUACCUAGGUAAUGACAAGGCUAAUCUUCAGCCUCAGAUAUCUGGCUCCAGAAUCCAUAUUCCUAACCACUAUACUACCCUAUCUGAAAGUUAUUAGGACUGUAAGAAAUAAUAUUCAAAUGUCAAUAGUAAACAAAGUUUUCAUUCUGAUACAACACUCAGAUAUAAAAGAAAACAAAUAACAGGAUACAUAUAUGGGAAUAUGGUUUUAUUAAAAAAUAUUUUAUAUGCUCCAAAACAUUUUACUUGGAAAUCUUCACUAGAAGUAGGAAAACCAGAAACUUUAGAACACCAGCAUGAAUACAUAACAAAUACUUUAAUUGUGGAUACAUUAAAUGUAUUUUAAUAUAAUACUUCCAAUAACAUGUUAUAUCAUGUUAAAAAUAAUAUAAGGAAAUAACACUAGAGAACAACAGAAUCCUGGAUUUCUGUUGCAGAUAAGGUAUCCUUAUUAGAGCCAGAAAUGAAACCCUGGAAAGUGCCAAGAGAAAAAGUGACUAUCAAUCCAAAACUUGGAUGUCAUCCAGUUGUGGGUUUUUAAAAAUGCCAUUAAAAUGAAUCUGAGAAUACCUUUAAACACAGUUCCCACAUUAAUGAACAUCCUAGAAUCCACAGUGGGAGUGUAAAUGUAGAAGUAGGAAUGUAAUUUUAUUGUGGGAUUUUAGCCAUAACUCUCAUCUCACUCUACUCUAAGCAAAGGGAUGAGAGAAAGUCUUGCAUGAUUUGCACCUUAUUCAGCAUCAAACAAUUCACAGUAGCCAGAAACCCUAUAAAUGCCACAAGGCAGAUAGGCCUUUAAGUUUCAAAGCCUACUUAACAUAAAAAAAAAAAAUUCACACUGGGAAAGAACCACACAAAUUUAAGGAUUAUGAAAAAAUCCCUUAACAGAGUUUACAUUUUCGUAACCAUCAGAGAACUCAAAAUGGAGAGAAACCCCCAGUGUAAUAAACAUAAUGAGGCCUUUAGGUGAUCACUCAUUAGUAAAGCCCACACUGGAGAAAACAUCUUAAAUGUAAUCAAAGUAAAAACGUCUUAAGUAAUGACUCAUACCUUAAUCUGUAUCAGAACUUGCAUAAGAAAGAAAACUUAUUAAUGUAUUGAAUGUGCAAGGCAUUUAACCAAAGGGAUAGAAUUUGAAAACACUAAUCCUAAAGUACAUAGGUGCCUUCUCAACCACCAUAAAUAAAAUAGCACUACUUUCCAGUCACACAAGCCCUUUACCCUGCUUUAUUCUUCAUAGCACUAACCACUUAAUACACUAUAAAUUUAUUUCUUAAAAUGAGUUAACUUCCCCCACUAGAAUAUAAACUCCAAAAGAUGGUGUUCUACACAGCUAUAUCAUCAAUGCCUAAGAUGAAACCUGGCAUGUAGAGGCACAUAAAUUGUUGAUGAAGGAAUUACAGUGCUUUUCCUUAUAUAGAGAGUAUUUGUUAUCUUGAAGAUACUUCAUUCUAAAUGAAAAGAAUUUACUUAGGCUUUAACACAUGCGUAAAAAAAAAUCUGUUGUUCCUUGUUUUGUAAUACACCAGAGUUAAAAAGCAUUUUAACUGUUAUGGUCUACAAAUUAUUCUCCAAUCAUGUGAGGGAUGGAAAAGUUGUACAAAAAGCACCCGGUAGCACCCUCAGAACUACACCAACCAGUGAGGGACCCAAAUGGUUCACAAGGGUCAAGAAGGCAAAACGAAGUUCCCAUUUCUGAAGAGAAAGUUACGGUUUUCUCAAGUUCCAAAUCUAUGUAAUACUUUACUCCUCUAAGGAGUAAUUCCUUAUUUGCCUUGUCAACUACUGGUAUAGAGGGUGUGGCAGUUUGGAAUCCAAAAGCAGCAACCCUUUUGUGCAGAGUUCGGCACUUAAGAACCAGGUCUCUUGUUAAUUAAAAAAGAAAAAAUCACUAAGGGCCUACUCAUCAUUAAGCACAAAGUAUAAAUAUAAAUUUUUUUAAGUAAGGACUUUACCAACUCAUCAAGAAAAGAACUAUAAAGCAGUGUUACCUGUUUGUUAACAUGUGAGGGAAGAUUAAGGGAACAGAAACAAAUGAACAUCAAACUGUUGAGUGGAAUGAGCUGAAAAAAGUCUUAUAGGUUCACUGGAACUGAGUCCUAAAGGAUAAAUGGGUGUUCACUUGGCCACAAUGAAGGGCAAAGCAUUCCAGGCAGAAGUAAUAAAUGCAAAGAGUACUGAGGGGAAAAACACACAGCACGUUAGAAAAGAAACCAAAGUACUUGCAACUGAUCACCAUGCUCCAAAAGGGGAAGGUUAGAAGGGUAAGGUGAGGGAGGGUGAUCUGUGUUCUAAGACCAUACUAAAAAUGAUUUAAAUCUUUAUUACUUAGAAAGCACAAAGGUAUUUUAUAGUAAAAUUUGUUAAAAAGCUAUGUUAAAUAAAAAUCUUAGUUGUGAAAAAAAAAAUCUUAGUUGUGUAUGGAGAAGCAAGGAGACAGAGAUAGGGAGAGAUUUUCCUUGUACCAAGAGGCUCCAUCAGAAUGUUAAUCAAAUAGGGGCCUGGGUUUUAAGUGUUUGAGGAACACUGGGACUAGAACAUGAUUACACAGGAUGCAUUGCAGAGAUAAACAUGGGAAGGUAGACAGUAACUAGGUCAUGGCAUUCUCUGUUGCCCUGCACUGUGAAAGAUUAAAACAACCAAAACAUAAACCAAAAUAGAUUUUAGAUAAAACAUGAGGCUUAGUUGUUUGGACAUACUGAAUUUAAAAUUACUAAAAUUAUCUAAGUGAAUAUAUUUAAUAGGCAGUUAUAGGAAGAAGGCUCAGAGAGCAGAAGUUGGGAUUCAAGCUCCAAGUCUAGAAGUCAGUUGAACAUUAUAGGUGUCAGAAAAAGCCAUGGCAAGGAAUAACAUCACCUAAGAGUAAGUAAAAAAAAGAGAAAGGAAAAGGUAGAGAGGAUGAAGAGAAAAAGGACAGAUAUCUAGGGAAGAACAAUACCUAAACCAGGCAGGAAAACAACAACAAAAAAAGAAGCCCAAGGGAAAUAAGGAAAGGUGGAGAUUGGCUUUCAACAGGAAGCAGGCAACCUCUUUUUUUCUAAAAAUGGAGGAAAUGAAUAGGGCAAAGACAGGAAAUACAAGUUGAACUCCUCAUAGUUUUAAUCUUCUGUAAGACCAAGAGCCAUAAGCUAAGGGAGGGGACAGAGGACAUGAGGAAAGUUAGAGGUUUAGAUUGGCCACCAUGGGAAAAGGAGAGAAGUCACACCAGAAAAAAGCAAAAGGCUUAUACUGAGGAUUCUCCUAAAAUUAAAGCUGAGAUACUUAUAGGGAUUGCACUUUGAAGGGCUGCACGUACUUCAUACGGGAUGCAACAUUCCAAAAAAGAUGGGUGACAGGAAUAAUUCAAUGCUGAGAUUUGCAGAAUGAUUAGACUGAAGGACAAAGGGACAAUGGACCUGAAGGGAUUGUGGUGUCCCCUAUAAGGAUGAGGCUGGAUCAGCAAGGAGAAAAUCUGAAAGAAGCUGAUGGUUUAGGACAAAGAGGAACAGUCCAAAGAAGGGGGCUGUGAAGCUGAAGAGAUGCACAGAAAUAAAGGAGAAAAAAGUAAAAAAAAAAAAAAAAGUACAAAGCUAGGAGGAUGUGAAUUGUCAUCAGUUACUGAAAUUUAAGAUUUCAGAAAGAGCAACUCAGGAUGGUGAUAUUCAUUCAAAGUGUAGCCAUGGGAGUAAGUUCUGGAAUGUGAUGAAGUUCAUAGGAGCAGAAGUCAAGGAUAUCAGCAAGGUAUUAGGAUCAUCCCAAGAUGACAUAGGAGUUGAGGUAGACAGAAAUACUGAGAGCAAGAGAGCAAGUUAGGUUCUCUGGCCUUUAUCACUCAUCUCUACUAUUAAAGACAAAAAUAUUAAACUGUCAAUAUAUAUGAAAAGGUACAUUCUAAACACAUAUGAGUUAAUGAUGGACUAACCUAACUUGGUUUCAUCUUCGUUACUCAUUUGAUAAACCACCCAUUUUCUUUUAAACAAAAUAGGAAAAUUGCUUGAAAAUUUUUAUAUAAUGCCAAUAGCAUAAAAACUGUAAAUGCCAUUAGUAAUGGUAUUUAAAAAAAUGAAACAUUUGUUUUGCGGCAUCUUUCUAUUUAUCUUAUUCUGGAAAUGGAGUCUGAAUACUAGUUGUAAUUUUUUAUUUUGCCAAUUUUUAUAUCCACAGCAUAUAUCUAAAGCAAUGAAGUGAUUUGAUUUUAAUCUUUGAAGCAUAGCAAACUUCAAAAUAGAUUUUAAAAUAAUCUGAAAAUCUAUAAAAUGGUCAAUUUUAUGUCACAAUAAAAAAAAAAACCUAACUAGUAAUAAAAAAAUUUGUAAAGCUACACUGAAUUCCUACUUAGUAUUAGCUAUAGAAUAUCUGCAGUUCAGGCUGAGUUAGAAUAACAUACAUGUCAUCUUAAAAAUUAAAGAAUCGUUCCUUCAUAGAUUUAAAAAUAUAUACUGAAAGAUGCUUAUGGCAUUUAAAAACAGGAAACCACAUUGGAUAUCUUUAUGUAGUGUAACAUUCUUAAACUCAGUGUCAAUAUAUCUUCUUUUCUGGAAGAUUUCCAUUUCAUGGGGUUUUUUUGUUUGUUUUCCUGUUUGAAAAGGAA